AGUAACACGUGAUCAAUCUGUCCUCACGUUCCGGAUAAUUGGGAGAAAUCCCUUGUAAUACGGGCGAGGGUCUUGCCGGGGCAUCCCGGUGGGAAGGAACACGCAAGUGGUGCGAGGAGGAGAUCGCGGCCUAUCAGGUAGAUGGUGAGGUAACGGCUCACCAUGCCGACGACGGGUAGCUGGUCUGAGAGGAUGGUCAGCCACAUUGGAACUGAGAUACUGUCCAGACUCCUACGGGAGGCUGCAGUCGAGAAUCUUGGGCAAUGCACGAAAGUGUGACCCAGCGACGCCGCGUGGAGGAUGAAGGCCCUCUGGGUCGUAAACUCCUUUUAGGGGAGAAGAAUCAAUGACGGUAUCCCCUGAAUAAGCCACGGCUAACUACGUGCCAGCAGCCGCGGUAAUACGUAGGUGGCAAGCGUUGUCCGGAUUUACUGGGCGUAAAGCGUGGGCAGGCGGACAUUUAAGUAAGAAGUGAAAGGUUUGGGCUCAACCCGGACACUGCUUCUUAUACUGGGUGUCUUGAGUGCCGGAGAGGAAGAGGGAACGACACGUGUAGCGGUGAAAUGCGUUGAGAUGUGUCGGAACACCAAUGGCGAAAGCACUCUUCUGGACGGAGACUGACGCUCAUCCACGAAAGCUAAGGUAGCGAACAGGAUUAGAUACCCUGGUAGUCUUAGCCAUAAACGAUGUUCACUAGGUGUCGGGGGUUUCCCUCGGUGCCGCAGCUAACGCAUUAAGUGAACCGCCUGGGGACUACGGCCGCAAGGUUGAAACUCAAAUGAAUUGACGGGG
rnacentral:rRNA from 1 species